rnacentral:rRNA from 1 species
GAUCAUGGCUCAGGAUGAACGCUGGCGGCGUGCCUAACACAUGCAAGUCGAGCGAAGCGUUUUAAAGGAAGUUUUCGGAUGGAAUUUGAAAUGACUGAGCGGCGGACGGGUGAGUAACGCGUGGGUAACCUGCCUCAUACAGGGGGAUAACAGUUAGAAAUGACUGCUAAUACCGCAUAAGCACACAGUACCGCAUGGUACAGAGUGAAAAACUCCGGUGGUAUGAGAUGGACCCGNGU